GACGAACCGUCCAAACGUUAUUCGGAAUCACUGGGCUUACAGAGUUCGUAGGCGGUCUGGAAAGUUGGGUGUGAAAUCCCUCGGCUCAACCGAGGAACUGCGCUUGAAACUACCAGACUCGAGGGAGAUAGAGGAAAGCGGAACUGAUGGUGGAGCGGUGAAAUGCGUUGAUAUCAUCAGGAACACCGGUGGCGAAGGCGGCU
rnacentral:rRNA from 1 species